UGGGGAAUAUUGCACAAUGGGCGCAAGCCUGAUGCAGCCAUGCCGCGUGUAUGAAGAAGGCCUUCGGGUUGUAAAGUACUUUCAGUCGGGAGGAAGGUGUCAAGGUUAAUAACCUUGGCAAUUGACGUUACCGACAGAAGAAGCACCGGCUAACUCCGUGCCAGCAGCCGCGGUAAUACGGAGGGUGCAAGCAUUAAUCGGAAUUACUGGGCGUAAAGCGCACGCAGGCGGUUGAUUGAGUCAGAUGUGAAAUCCCCGGGCUUAACCCGGGAAUUGCAUCUGAUACUGGUCAGCUAGAGUCUUGUAGAGGGGGGUAGAAUUCCAUGUGUAGCGGUGAAAUGCGUAGAGAUGUGGAGGAAUACCGGUGGCGAAGGCGGCCCCCUGGACAAAGACUGACGCUCAGGUGCGAAAGCGUGGGGAGCAAACAGG
rnacentral:rRNA from 1 species